rnacentral:piRNA from 1 species
UUUUUUCUAGGUGUGUGUGGGGCGG